rnacentral:piRNA from 1 species
UUCCAAAUCACUGAUGGACAAAACUC